UACGUAGGGUGCAAGCGUUGUCCGGAAUUAUUGGGCGUAAAGGGCUCGUAGGCGGUUUGUCGCGUCGGGAGUGAAAACUCAGGGCUUAACCCUGAGCCUGCUUCCGAUACGGGCAGACUAGAGGUAUGCAGGGGGAGAACGGAAUUCCUGGUGUAGCGGUGAAAUGCGCAGAUAUCAGGAGGAACACCGGUGGCGAAGGCGGCUCUCUGGGCAUUACCUGACGCUGAGGAGCGAAAGUGUGGGGAGCGAACAGG
rnacentral:rRNA from 1 species